ACAACGUCAUGUGACUGCAGCUCAGGUAACUGUGACUUACACAGUUCAUUCUGUUACAACAUCAUGAAGAACCAGUUCAGUCUUCAGGAGACUCUGGAUUAUAGUGAUGGUGAAGAUGUGGCAGAUGCUGAAUCAGAGGACUUUGAUGAAGCUUCUGAAACAGAAGAGCAGGACCAAGAUCACAACGAAACUGAUGAGGAAACUUCAGAUGAAGAGGAUGCUGAUGAGGAGCCAAACACUUCUCUCUAGAAAUGGAAGCAUUCGCUGGACAUCAUCAAACGAUUCAAAGACACUGCAGAUGACCCCAGGUAUGCAUGUUCUCAUGCUGAGGACAUCAAAUCAAACUCAUUCAAAAGAUUGUGCUUGAAAUGUCACAUGUGGAGGGGAGAUGAGUGGAUUUGGCAGACAUUCAGAUAUUGGUCUUGUCAUUCUUGUAUACCACUCCAACAAUGAGUCCACGGCAGGUUUAUGGCAUCCAGAUUCCAGAAGUCAUGCCUUUGGAGACCUUCAGGAAAAUGUCAAGGAUCAUCAGGUUUGAUGAUAAGCAGACAAGAAUUAGCAGCAAUCCGGUUUGUGUGGAACAAAUGUGUUGAACAUCUGCAGAUGAUGUACAAUCCUGGCCCAAAUGUCACGGUUGAUGAGAGCCUGGUGCCAUUAGAGGGCGCUGUCCAUUCAGACAGUUCAUACCCAGUAAGCCAGAGAAAUACGGCAUCAAAAUUUGGGCGGCAUGCAAUUCGACAACAAGCUACGCCUGACAGAUGCAAGCUUACACAGCAAGAUAAGAACCAGCGGAUGAGAGUUGAUGUCAGGCCUGCGGGGUCACAUGAUCUUCCCAGGAGCUGCUGAAACAAUGGUCAGAACAAUUAGAAAUAAGCCAGAACUCCCACCUGUCCUGCUUGCAACGGAGGAGUGGACAACCUGGAGAAGAUGGUAACCACUUACACCUGCAAACGAAAGACAGCUCAGUGCUGUUUUUCAGCAGGCUUGAUGUCUCAGCACUGAAUUCCUGCAGUCUGACAUCUGUCCAGAAUGACUCUCAGGGAAAAGCUUCAAGGUUAUUUCUGGAGGAGCUUCUAACAGCUCUGAUGGCUCCUCUUAUGGAGGCUCGACAGCACCUUCCACGCACCAGCCUCUCUCUGUGUCCUGACAAACGCCAAAAGAUCUCUAGAGGUGGAAAAUGAAGCUUCCACGUCACAUACAGAAGCAAACACCAGGAAGAGGAUAAGACGCCACCUCUGUUCCCGUGAACAGGAUCGGAAAACCACAGUGAUGUGCAGAACCUGCGACAACCCCGUCUGCAGACUCAUAAACCAGACUGUGUGAGAUGAGACCACCAAUUAUCCUUCCUAGGUGUUUGAUUUUUUCCUAUUCACUGUUUUCUAAUUUGUUACUGCUUUAUGCUCAUUUGUUACUGCUGUUCAUUUCAUUGUAUUUUGAUGUUCAUGUCGUGUAUUUGUAUACACAAUAUGUAAUAUAACUCUUCAUUUUUGUUCUGUUUAUUUAGUAACUUAAGUGUAGAGUUGUGUGAAAAACAGAUAACUGAAAUAAACUCUAAAGACGCUUGUU